UCUUUUAAAGGGUAUACAGCAAUCCAGCGGCCUUAGAAGCCGCCACUCUUGGUGCAACUCCAAGUAAAAGUA
rnacentral:tRNA from 1 species